rnacentral:misc_RNA from 1 species
AGCAUUCUCAAAGGUUCUCUUUCCUUCUCUCCUUUCCAUCUCACAAUUUCAAUAAUUUGCUCAUUCUCUGUAUGAUUUCCAAACAGAAUGAUAAUUUCUUCAAAGCUUUUCAUUUAUUUACAGGAUGGGCUUGGAGACAUUCAUUACUGAAGUCCCAAGAAUAAAAUGCCUUUAAACUCUUCUGAAAAUUCAAGCGAUAGGAUAUUAGAUUUAUCCUUAUUGUGCAAAAGCAAUUCUUUUUUUGAGUAGCAUCCACAUUCUUUAAUGGAUGGAAUUCUAAAUAAUCAUAAUAACUAUCAGAGAACAUAAAAAAGAUAAAAUGAAGUUUUAAAUAGCAUUGUUUUCCUGGAUUUAGUGUAUGUCAUUAACAUUCAGUGCAUGUUGAAAGGCUUCUUGGUG